GGCUGCGUUUCCACCAGAGAUGUGCGAUGGAAAUGUGUCGUGCGAGGAUGUCUAGCUGUGCUGUGAAAAUGUGUGGGUGUUUCCACCAAAGCUGUGCGAUGAUAAUGUGCCUACGAGGAUGUGUAGCGGAGCUGUGAAAAUGCGCAUUAAUGUGUGGCGCGAGGAUGCGUUGCGAAGCUGUGAAAUGUGUCGACGGGGGUGCGGUGUAGUGGGAGCGGAGUAACGCGAACGCCUGCCUGCCGCUCACCGCGCUGCGCUCACGUCUCACUUUGCUGUCGUAAGCGCUUGUAGUCGUACGCAUGUCGUACGGUUGCGUGGCAUAAUGGACGAAAAAUUAAUUGAUGCCGUUCAAAAGUUUCCGUGUUUGUGGAACACUUCUUUGUCAUUUUACAAAUGUAAUGAAACUAAGGACGCUGCGUGGGAGGAAAUAGUCAAAGAAAUACAAUAUAAAGAUGUGAAAAGCGCUAAGUAUCGUUGGAAACAACUACGGGAUAGCCAUCGGGACGCGCUAAAGAGGCAGAAAUCUAAAAAGCGGACAGGCUACAACCAAAACACGUGAAUGGAAAUACCAAAAAUUGAUGGAAUUUCUUUUACCGUACAUGGCCAACAGAGAUAGAGAGUCAAGUUAUAAAGAGGAUAUUUCGUCACCAAAUAAUGAAAAUGACUCUUCGCAAAGCACUCAAUAUUCAUUAAACCAAGAUGACUCUUCGCAGAGCACUGAACAUACACCAAAUCAAGCUGACAAUCCCAACAAUCUUUACGAAAUAGCCUCAACUUCAGGCAUUUCAACAGAUUCGGUCACCCCGUCAUCAUCAAAGAAGAAAAAAGGCGAUGAAUUAUCAAUUUUAAUACAAAAACAUAUGAAAAAUCAAGAAGAUUUUCGAAAAGAAAGGCAAGAAUUAAGAGAACUUUUAAAACCAACGGACUGCGAUGAUACUGAUCAUUUUUCUUUCAAUGGCGAAAACAUUUAAAAAAUUACCAGAUUACAUGCAAGUUCCUUUAAAAAGGAAACUUUUUAAUAUGAUUAGCGAAGCCGAAGAAUCUUACGUGCUGUCGUGGUAUAAUCAAAAUAUUGGUUAUUCUUCAAGCUCUGAUAGCAGUAUAGCAGUAGGUAGUAAUAUAGCAGGCCAGAUGGAUUUGCCGCCUCAGCUGGAUCCUGAACAACUUGGUUAUUCUUCAAGCUCUGGUAGAAAUACAAAUAAAACAGUGGGCCAGAUGGAUUCAUCUUUCCAACUGGAAGCUGUACAACCAGCAUCUCCGGGAACACAACAUUCAGACCUACAAACGCCAAAUACUUCAAACAAAGUAGGAACAGAGCCUAAUUUGCCAUGAAAAGAGGAACUUGUUGUCUACUUAUUUUGCAGAUUAUGAUUACUUUUCAAUUAAUAUGUUUAAUAAAGACAAAAUUGAUUCAAACUAUUUUACUUACUUUAAACAUACCGCCAAUUUUUCCUUGGUGCUGAUGCAUUCUCUGUAGUGAGUGUCUUCUUUCUUGAUAAUGUUCUCAAUCAAAUUGUGUAACUCAUAAAAGUUACUUCUAGAUACUCGAUAAGAAUUUUCGAAUAUUUCAUCAUCAGCCGUAUGAAAAAAGGUAAAGAAUUCUCCAUGUAAUCGAUGAUAUUUAAUAUGGUUACGUAUCCAAAACCUGUGUGUUCUUGUAUUGCUCAAAAUUAUAGAACUAAUAAACUCCGUAUCUUCUGCUUCCAUUUCUUCAUCACAAAUUGUUAAAUAUAAAAGUAUUUUCUUUUUCCAAUUA